rnacentral:rRNA from 1 species
GGGUGGUAAUUUCAUCUAAAGCUAAAUAUUGGCCGGAGACCGAUAGCGCACAAGUAGAGUGAUCGAAAGGUUAAAAGCACCUUGAAAAGGGAGUUAAACAGCACGUGAAAUUGUUGAAAGGGAAGCGCUUGCGGCCAGACUCGGGCGCGGGGUUCAGCGGGUGCGUGUCACCCGUGUACUCCCCGCCGCCCGGGCCAGCAUCAGUUCUGACGGCCGGUCAAAGGCCCCCGGAAUGUGUCGUCUCUCGGGACGUCUUAUAGCCGGGGGUGCAAUGCGGCCCGUCGGGACUGAGGAACGCGCUUCGGCUCGGAUGCUGGCGUAAUGGCCGUAAGCGGCCCGUCUUGAAAACACGGAC